GAAUUCAAUAGAAAAUAACUUUGCAGAAUAAAAUCUCAGGUGUGUUUUUUUAGUGCCACAGUCUUGGAUGAUGGGCUUCUAGAUGUUGAGUCCUAGAAGCUCUCAACAUCUCUUCUUAAUUGGAGAAAGUGUUAAGCCCCAAAGUAGCUGGAGCAGUACAUCUUCAAUUUUUGACAAGAAAGCAGGAACUUGGUUACUUUGAGUGUUAUUCAUUAGUUUCUGCUUUCAUUGAGAAUGCAGCAAAAGCCAACGAGGCUGCUGCUAACUCCUUGCUGGACAUCUUCUGCCACUAUCACAGGAACUGUGAUCUCACUGGACAAUUAACUAGGGAGCCUUUCAUCUUGAAUGACUGCUGCACAAAUGAUCUUCAAAGCAUUUUAGCCACCAGAGGAAUUCUCUUCAAAUACCCAAAAUCCAUCAGUAUCUUGAAUCAUGCUGGAUUUUGAAGAAUUCUUAACAAGCCAUGUAAAGGGGGCUCUCUGGCCUUGAAAUAGUGAUGUUUUUUAUACAGAAAGGAGAAUGCCGAAUGUUCAGACUACCAUGCACUGUUAAAUUUGAUUUCAAGAAAUUACAGGAAAACUUUCCAAAGUUCCGUCUCACAGAAUUUAUUUUUACAAAGAAUUCCAAGAUAAGUUUAGUUUUAUGGAAGAUUUUUAUGUGGUUUUUACUCACUCUUCAUCUCAGACAUCAACCGAUGAUUACAUCACUUAUUUAGCUAGUAAAUUUAUUAAUAUAAAACUCAGAGACAUUCCAAUAUCCACAUUGCUUACAUCAUCAGGCAUAGAUUCAAUGUCAGCUAUGACAAUUGAAAAUAAGCUGUUUUGUGAUUUAAAGGUUUAAAUUUCUCUAACCAAACAGCUUGAUCCAGAUGCAGCACUGCAAAUGUUAAUAUUUGUUCUGGAAGAGCAAUCAAAUAAGACUUAAGAGGAAAAGGAAUGGCCACAAUCCACCUGAAAUUUUUUUUAAAAAAGUAUGCAGCCUACUAAAUCAGAAUGAAAAUAGAAGUACAAGAUUAUAAACAAAAUGCAAUCAAACUUUUCUUAAGCUUACCUAAAGUUAUUUUAUCUGAAAAUUUCAAGCAACUUUGAUCAACAUUAAAUUGACAAUCUAAACUAACAAGUCUUUUGAAUUUAUGUAUGGUAGUAAACAUUCUCUCUAUUAAUUUUAUUACCUAAGGCUAAACCUAAAAUUUUUAAGCAAAAUUAGAAAGUCUUCACUUAUCAAAAAAUAAAGUUUGUUACAUUUAGUAUUUUCCCAAUAAAAUUGGUCAUUCUUGGUUUUUUAUUUGGAGAAUCUGUGCAAAAUUUCACUGAAAAUAAAUUAGAACUAGAAAUUAUUUCUAAAUACCAAAAAAAAAAUGAAGAAUGGUUUCACAAAGAAAAAAAGAAAACUUGCUUAAUUAGCAGAGUAUCAUCUCUGUGAUUUUUGUGAUUAUUUGAUCAGUGUCCUGAGAUGGAUACAAUGGCAAGUAAUGACAAAAUUAAAAUAAGCAUGCAGAUUUUUUUAAAUUAAGUGCCAAAAAAUAAUUGGUCAUGCAAAGCCCUUAAAAAUAUUGUGGCCUAAUUCUAAAGUUUUUUGCUACUAUGCUACAUCACACGCAACAUCAGUUAAGUGCUCAUUCUGUGACAGGUAGUACAUUACAUUUUAGCAAACUACACAAGACCCCUAUGUGAUAAUAUGCUUCAGGGUUGUAAGGUUGGGUGCAUUUACUAGUCUUGAAUUUUCUGGGAGUAUACAAACCCAAUAUUAGUCUAGAUGCCCACAAAUCUAUUUAGACGUCACAGUAGAAUGGAGAGUAAUCUUGACCACAGGAAGCUGUGUUGUGGCAUUUAUUUUGAAAUUAUUUUUUCUUGAUUUUUUUGCCUUUUGUUUUGUGAGUUUUAUAAUGUACAGAAUAUUUUUAAAUUAUUAUAUAUAUCAACUAAUUAGUCUUCAUUUAAACUUACGCCUCUGGGGUCUUACUUGGGUUUCUCCUAACAAUAUUAUACACAUAUUUGCAAUAAUUUCUCUCAUACUGCUUUUAACUCAUUUAAUUUUUCAACUUUUUAAGAAUAACAAAAGUGAUAUUAAUUGUAAAAAUGCUGAAGUGACAUAUGAAUUUAUGAAGUGCAUAUGUAUUUUUUAGUUUACCAAUGAGAUGGGAGAAAUGCUGUCUUAUAUUUUAACAUACAUUUUGGCCAUUACACAGAUGAAGCAACUUUUCAUUUGUUAAUACAUAAUGCAUACUUUUUCUUCUGUGCAAUUCCUCUUUGUAUUCUUUGCUCAUUUUCCCACUGGGAUUUGCAAGUUCUUUAUUAUUUGAUAAUCUCUAUACAUUCUGAAUAUCAAUUUUUUGUUAUAUAUACCAUGUAAAUAUUUUCUUCUAAUUUGUUAUUUGUCUUUUAAUGGUAUUUAUCAAUUGUUUGCUAAAAAUGAGUUUGUUUAGUUAGUAAAAUUUGUCUAUCUUUAACUUCAUGAUAUUUGUAUAUCAUGUCAUGAGGAAAAGGCAUGAAUAUUUUAAAAACUUCCUUGUAGUGUUAAUUUUAUUUUUUAUUUCAUUCUUUAAGUUAUUUGAAAUUUAUUGUUUAUUUCUUCAAAUUCCAAAUAAUAACCAACUUUCUCAAAGCAAUACUUCUUUCUACUGAUUUCAAACGUUACAUUUGUCUUCUCUGAAGUUCUUGUUUUUUUGAUACCUGACUGUCACACUACUGCUGUGGAUGUGCUUCAUACCAUCACAGUACUGCAGGGUUAUAAGAUUAUCUGAUAGCCAAUAGAAGCAGACGUCUACUCACUGUCAUUCUUUUGUCUUUUGGAGAAUAAAGUUAGCUAUUUUUA